AUAUUUACCUGGCAGGGGAGAUACUAUGAUCAUGAAGGUGGUUUUCCCAGGGCGAGGCUUAUCCAUUGUACUCCAGAUGUGCUGACCCCUGCGAUUUCCCCAAAAAGAAAAAAAAAAGAUUUAUUUUAUUUUAACUGUAUGAGUGCUUGUUUACCUGCAUA